GAUGAAGAACGUAGCGAAAUGCGAUAAGUAAUGUGAAUUGCAGAAUUCAGUGAAUCAUCGAAUCUUUGAACGCACCUUGCACUCCUUGGUAUUCCGAGGAGUACGCCUGUUCGAGUGUUAUGAAGCUCUCAAAACGCAAUUGGCUUAAAACCUGAUUGUUGUUUUGGAUUUGAACUUUGCCGUGUUAUAACGGCUGGUUUUAAAAGUAUUAGCUGGUACUAGAACGAAUUGGUUCUACUCAACGUGAUAAUUAUCUGAUCGUUGAGGACAUUCCUUUCACGAGGAAUGGCCAUAGUAAAUUCAAUGGACUGCUUCUAAUCUGGCUUUAAUUCUUUAUUGGAUUAACCACUUUUCAAAUCUGACCUCGAAUCAGGUGGGACUACCCGCUGAACUUAAGCAUAUAAUAAGCGGAGGA
rnacentral:misc_RNA from 1 species